rnacentral:rRNA from 1 species
AAGGUAGCACAAUCACUUGUCCUUUAAAUAAGGACUAGUACGAACGGCACCACGAAAACUACACUGUCUCCUUUUUAUAAUCAGUGAAACUGAUCUUCCCGUGAAGAAGCGGGAAUUAUUCUAUAAGACGAGAAGACCCCAUGAAGCUUCAAAUAAGUAUCAACUCUUAACUUUACACCACCAGAUACAUAAUAGUCAUGAUUACUAAUUUUUGGUUGGGGCGACCAUGGAGUAAAACAAAACCUCCACAAUGAAAAGGCCUAACCCCAUUAUUCAAGAACAACAGUUCUAACAAUCAAUACAUUGACAUAAUUGACCCAAACCCCUUGAUCAAUGAACCAAGUUACUCUGGGGAUAACAGCGCUAUCUAUUUCAAGAGUUCAUAUCGACAAAUGGGUUUACGACCUCGAUGUUGGAUCGGGGUAUCCCAGUGGUGCAGCCGCUACUAAAGGUUCGUUUGUUCAACGAUUAAAACCCCACGUGAUCUGAGU